rnacentral:lncRNA from 1 species
GUCCUGGAAGGAGAGAAACCGUCCUGGAAGCCUGUGCUGUCGUCCGGGAAGGAGAGAAGCCGUCGCCGGCGUGAGACGGCAGAGAAUGGACGAAGUCCGCACUUUAAGCCAGAGUGCGGACGUCCGCUCUCUAUCCUUUCUGUGUGUAUAUAUAUAUAUUUAGGGUUAAUUAGGGUUCUACACAUCCUGGAAGGAAUCCUAGGUUUACACUGCUCGGACAAAUUCGAAUUUGUCUGCUUCUUCACGUAGAUAUGUAAUAAGGCGAAGAAAAUUGUAGAAGAAGAACUGGGCAGGCAAUAAGGAAGGUUAGCUAGGUUUGGUUGCUGACACUAAAUUCAAAAUUGAAUGGGGUGUUCCUUGAAAGCUGGUGCUGAAUUGAAUUAACACACAAUAUAUGCUCACAGUUAGGGCUGGCAUCGGUAGGUAUACCAACUCUAUUUUUUAAUACCAUGUACCAACCAACUUAAGAUUGGUAGGCAAAAUCUUGUACCAAAACCAACCGUCAAAGUUGGUAUACCAACUUAGUUGGUACGGUUGGUACUCGGUUGGUAUUGGGCCUCUACCAAGUUUAGAUUGAGGCCCAACAAACUGAAAGGCCCAGCUCAUUUAAAUCCUUUUUUUAGGCCUAUACCAAACUUCUAUCAAUUAUCAAACUAUUUUUCAAAGUUUCACACAUCAUAUAAUUUCAAAUGCAUAAACAAAUUAUAGAUAGCUCAACAUCAUUGAUUAUACUCAUUAUAGAAGAAGAAAAACCAAACCAACAACUUAAUGCAAGAGAGACUAUUUAAUGCAGUCUUCCACCACCAUUUUCAGUAAUCAGAGAAGAACAUUACUCUAUCUCUUUAUAUAUCUCCUCAUUCAAACCCUACCCUCUUCUUCUUCUAUCUCAUUCUCUUUAACUUGAACAGAAAUCAACAUUGCUACCCAAUUCACUCCUACUCUCUAACUAUCAAAAGGUCCAUUCUUUCUUCCAAGCUAUCGGCAUUUCAUAAUCUACCUUCUAUUCAUCUAACUAAUGAAAUCAUAACUCUAAAGCCAAUACAGAAUAAUUGAAACAAGCACAUAAGCGAAACACAACAAAUCAUAUCUCAAAUCCAAAUCACCAUCAAAAUGUUCACUAAAUGAUGAAAGGCAGUAUACCUGUAUUGCCAACACAGUCAUCAUGAAUCUUGCAGCAUUCACUUUCACGUUAAUGGCAUAAACAUAAGCUUGAGUCUCAUAGACUAAUACAGUCCCACCACAACCAUGUAAUCAAGCACUACUAAUACAGGGCAGUGAGUCGGUAAGUAUUGAAAGAACACAUUGUAUUUGUUUUGGGUUUUUAGCAAGUAAAAAGGUUCAUCAACUAACAGACUGUGCUGCAUUGACGGUUAACAAAUUCAACAACAGGCAAAUGCUGUAUCAUCAAUCAACACAUAAUGUGAGAACACAGAGCAUAGAACACAAUCAACACAUAGAUUGAUAGAUAACAAUCAUAACACAUAGAUUGAUAGAUAAUAGAUUGAUAGAUACAUAUGGAGAUUCGAGGCUUGGUGCUGCGAAGUCAACGGCGAGUUGUGGCGCUGCCCUUCGUCGGAGAGUCGAGGCACUGCCCAGCGCUGCCCUUCGUCGGAGAGUCGAGGCGCUGCCCAGCACUGCCCUUCAUCGGAAAGUCGAGGAGCUGCCCAGCGCUGCCCUUCGUCGGAGAGUAGAGGCGCUGCCCUUGGCGCUGUCGAGUCGAGGUGGCCGAGGUGCUGCUGAGUUGACGACGAGAGAGGCGAGGUGGCUAGAAGCUGAGUCGAGGUGGCGGAGCCAAGGAGGUGUUGCGAAGUCGAGGUGGCGGAGCCGCGGGGGUGCUGCUAAGUCGAGAGAUGAGGCGAGAGAGGCCGAGAGUGACUGUGAGUCUAUUGACUCUAUUCUGAACUAACUCAACUAACUAACUAAGGAUUAGGGUUAGAUCCAUAGAUCAACGGCUUAGAUUAAUAGUUUUAAUUUUUUAUUUUUUUUUAAUAUAACUCGAUUGGUACAUGGUAUACUGUAUUUUGGGAAAAUCUGUACCACGUACCAACCAACUUCUAAAACUUGGUACGGUACUACUGUAUCGGAAACUCGGUUUCCAACUACUUGGCAUACCAAUUUGUUUGGUACGGUUGGUACAUGGUUGGUUGGUAUCGCCAAGGUCCAAAUUGCCACCCCUACUCACAGUUUCGUACGGUCGGACCUACAUGUUUUAAACUUUUCAUAAUGUUAAAUUUAAAUUUAACUAAAAAUAAGAAGAGCCAUAUAAAAGUUGAUUCCUAAUUAAAAGAUGGUCUCUCUGGUCUCUCCCUUAGGGUUUGAUGGCGCCGGCUUGGUUUGGUGGAUCUAGACGGGAGGUUUGCUCUCCUUUCUAGAUUUGAAUGGUAGUGGUACUAGCAGUAAACAUUGGCAUCUUCUCGCUUUGGGAGGCUUUUGUCUUCUGGUGGUUGUGUUCGUCCCAUUGGACAUUGGUAACAAUGGUUGGUGGUGGCAUGGUGUCUCCUCUAGUGGUGUGUAGGGGCUCAAGGCUGGUGAUGGUGGCGGAGCCAUGAUCUCGACGCCGGGAUCUUCUCUAUUCCAUGGACAUCUCAGUGGUAGGCGUGGAUCUAUUGGCUGCAAGACUUUUUCAAAUCUUGGGGAGGUGGCUUUCAUGGUGACACUAUCGGUCUAGGUUCAGGGAAUGCUAGGGUUUUGCCGUUGGAGGUACUUGGGGAUUGGGAUCUGUGGUCUCAGCCUCUGAGUUCGGUGGCGAAGAUUGCAGUAGUGACGCUGGUCGAACUCAAGGCGUCGACGAUGGUUCAUGGAUGGCUAUCGGAGGCUGAUGGGUGGUUGUCAGAUGGUGGAUGGAUGCCGCAGACGGUGGUCGUAGGUUGGAAAAGGCCAGCGGUGGAAACAGAUUAGUCUUGGACCAGGGCCUUUGGGCUUGGGUCUGGGCCCAAUCCUUCUUCUACUAUCUCAUGUGUAGGUUCUACGACUGCGACUGUGGACUUUAGGGGCACUCCUUCUGCGUAGGGCAGUCUUAGAGCUCUCAUUCUCUAAUAUGCUAGUUUGCUAGCAUUAGUUUUGCUUUUGCUUUUAUUUCGUUUUGUUUUUGUUUGAUUUAUUUUUGAACUGUGAUAGAUGUUUAUAUUUAAUUACUCUAGGGUAGUCUCAUGACUUGAUUCUUACGUGGCCCCUCCGGGGUAAGUCAUAUGUAUGUAAUUUUCCUCCUUUACUAAAUACAAGGCCUGACAUUCUUCCUCUAAAAACAAUUAAAAAUAAGAAAAUGAUGAAGUAUAAAGUGUAGAGACAAAAAGAUCUAGUAAGAGAAUAGAGAAUCAUCAUCUUAUUCAUUGAUAGGAGCCCUUUAUAUAUGUAAUUACAAAUUACUAAUAUGGUAAUGAUAAAGAAUACAUAGUCAUAUUCCAACUACAUAUCCUGAUGGCAUAAGGCCAAGGCACACAUAUGAAAUAUCCUAGAAUACUCCCCCUUGUGCCAUGCGCCGGUAUGCCUGUGGUGCUGAUAUGUCGCCUUGUUAACAACCUUGUCAAGUAACAAAAACCCUGUAGGAGAAAAACUAAACCUUGAUCGUAAGAGAAAAAAAGUACGACGCACCCUUCACAUUUGAUAAUGACAUGUAUGUAUGUAUGUGCUAGACUCCCCCUGAACUUCGCACCUCCCCCUGAUCUUUACAUUAGGGCUUUUCUUGAUUUUUACUAAUCACGGAAGUGUCAAUAACUUCGCAUGUCAAUGCUCUUUAACAUGUCUUCAAAUAGCAUUGGGCAAUGAUUAACUAGAUCAUGCCGUAUUGUCUUCAAACAUGAUCUUUUACGCUUAGAUCUUAAGGAGAAGGCCGUUUGUGAACUCAAAACAUAAGUUCGUGCAGGAAAUCAAAUUUCUACGCAGCAUGACCUUAAGUCACUAGAACAGCCGUAACUUCCUCUAGGUAAUACUUAUGAACGAACCGUAAACGCUUUUGGAAACUAGACUCAUUUAGCUUUCCAACCGUAUAUUACACACAUUCUGGUUCAUCAGGAUCUGUUCACAAAGUCCAGUCAAAUUUGAC